CACGUAGGGGCCAAGCGUUGUCCGGAUUUAUUGGGCGUAAAGAGCUCGUAGGCGGUUCGACAAGUCGGGUGUGAAAACUCCGGGCUCAACCCGGAGACGCCACCCGAUACUGUCGUGACUGGAGUCCGGUAGGGGAGUGGGGGAAUUCCUGGUGUAGCGGUGAAAUGCGCAGAUAUCAGGAGGAACACCGGUGGCGAAGGCGCCACUCUGGGCCGGUACUGACGCUGAGGAGCGAAAGCGUGGGUAGCAAACAGG
rnacentral:rRNA from 1 species